ACCCUCCACUUCACUUUCCCAUUGGAUCUCAACACCAGUCUUGCUGGUUGCUUAAAAGGAGGACAAGUAAUAAUGAAGCUGGCCCCACAGUGCUUGUAGUCUGCUCUAUAGUAUGUGGGCUAGUUUCAAACAAGG